AACAAAAACUGGCGGCGAGGAACUGCGGAGAACUGUUGCCCUGCACCGCUUCAUUUUGUGCAGCCUGAAAGGGGCAAUCACAUAAGGUCGGUUUUGUAAUAUACAGGUAACAUACAGUCCGGGCAGUUGAGAAGGCCACCCCGCUUCGUGCCUGCAGCCCAGGUUCACAGCAAAACUGAGCAGUAAAUAGUGUUCCCAUCUACCCCGUUUCAACACUAGUACAGCACCAGAGUGGACAUGUACUUGUAGACAGGAUUCAAAGCAGUUAAGAAUGUCUCUGCCAAGUCGACAAACAGCUAUUAUUGUUAACCCUCCUCCACCAGAAUAUAUAAAUACUAAGAAAAAUGGGCGAUUGACAAAUCAACUUCAGUAUCUACAAAAAGUUGUCCUAAAGGAUUUAUGGAAGCAUAGUUUUUCAUGGCCCUUUCAACGUCCUGUGGAUGCUGUGAAACUACAGUUGCCUGAUUAUUAUACCAUUAUAAAAAACCCAAUGGAUUUAAAUACAAUUAAGAAGCGCUUGGAGAAUAAAUAUUAUGCGAAGGCUUCAGAAUGUAUAGAA
rnacentral:lncRNA from 1 species